UACGGAGGGUGCAAGCAUCAAUCGGAUUUAUUGGGCGUAAAGGGGGCGCAGGCUGGAAUGUAAGUCAGAUGUGAAAUCCCGGGACUCAAUCCCGGAACUGCAUUUGAAACUACAUUUCUUGAGGGUAGGCGGAGAAAACGGAAUUCCACAUGUAGCGGUGAAAUGCGUAGAUAUGUGGAAGAACACCCGUGGCGAAGGCGGUUUUCUAGCUUAUUCCUGACGCUGAGGCCCGAAAGCUAGGGGAGCAAACGGG
rnacentral:rRNA from 1 species